GCACUAGUGGGGUAAUGGUAACCUUCAAAUUUCCCAUGUUUGAGCACCGUGUUCGAUUCACGGCUAGUGCA